GGCUAACAGUGCAGCAGAGAAGGAAGAACAGCGCCCCCGCACCGCGAUUCUUUCCCCUCCUCAAGCCCUGCACGCCCGCCUCCCUGAAAUCAAACUUUUAUGCUCCUUCCAUCUUGCUGCCUCCUGCCCCCUUGACUCACAGACGCUGCUGCUUGCGCGUGAACCAGGAACCUCCGUGAUGUUCUCUGCCUCAUGGCUGCACCAAUUUCCAUUCCCACCGACUCUGCAGGAAGGCUCCCUUCGCUCCCCGCCCUGGAAGGGACCGUCUUGAGCAUCCCCGAGCUGAGCUGUACUCUGUCCGUGACCCGGAACUUGUCCCUGGAAUUCAGAGAAAGUGCAGAGCUGAGGUUACCGGACAAGCAAAGCCCUUGGGGGUCCCAGCUGCUCCCGUGGGGGUGCCUCGCCGAGACUGCGUUUAUUUUUAAUCCUCCCCGACAUCUGCCUCACAGCCUCCGGAGAGGAAAUGAGGCCAUCUGAACAAGGAGGACGGAUCACCUGAGGUGCCGUCACUGGCUGCUCCAGCAAAGCGCAGCCAUUGCUCCUUACCUUGGACGAGGGGUAUCUCCUCACCACCGUCCUUCCUGACCUUCAACGUGGGAUAGCUCCUCUAGGCCCUCCUGUGCCUCUCUCUGGGCUUCUGUUUCCACUGGGACGAUGUGGAUCUGGAGGGCAGGGGCCAGUUUUUCCAUGAAUCAGCCAAAGAGAAGUGUGAGGGCCACCAGCAGUCCCUUGAAAAUACGAAACCAGCGGGGCAGCCAGCCGUGGUCUCUUCCAGGACGCGUGGAAGCUGCCCCAAGAAGAG
ensembl:lncRNA